rnacentral:lncRNA from 1 species
GUUGACUGGACUCCUUUUUUUUUUUUUCUUUUUGGCAACCUGGCCUGUUUUGGGAUUUUACUGCUUUUUAAAGUUUUAGUUUGAUUACGUGGCACUUAACAUGAGUGACUCCAUUUGGGUUGGCCUGUUGGGGCCCAGUGCAGGAAUUCAGUCCAAAACAAUGGUCUCUCCCAAGUUUUAUUUAACAGUGGCUACGCACCCCUCUCUUUUUAGCAUGCAUACCUUUUGCCAUGUGACUAAGCCAUCCUUCCUACCCGGUGUCACAGUCUAUUUCUUCACUCCCCAGAAUUUAAGAUGGUCUUGUGAAUUACUCUGGCUUACAAAAUGAGCCAGAAGAGGCCCUGAAAGCAGCAGAUCUCACCUGCAUUGGAGGAUGAGACGCCACAUGAAGAAGAAAGAAGACGCCACAGACAGCAGCGCAGUACCACCUUCCAGAGAUGUCCUAAAAACAUCCUGAGUUUCUUUGGCCUGCCAGAAAGUCACCUUCCUGACUCACCUGUAAGGCUGGGAACUCCAUAAUCCAGGUACCAGGCAGACUUUCCGGGAGGGCUUCAUAUGCAUUGGCUCCAUAAAGUUAACCUUAGUUCCUCAAAACUGUCUGUUCAUAUGUGAUUUUAUGUCUUAUUCUCAGUUGGAAAUGCAGAAAUCACCUGUCUUCUGCGUCGAUCAGGCUGGGAGCUGCAGACCGGAGCUGUUCCUAUUCGGCCAUCUUGGAAUGGACCCCCAUGUCUUAUUCUCAAAUAAAACAUUUUGGUCAAAGCCUUGAUUAUCUAAUCAAUUUUUAAAAUUAUGUUCUGUUACAAAAAGGACAGAUUCUUAUCGAACCCAUAUAAAAUAGUAUAUCACCAUUGAUACGGUUUGGAUCUGUGUCCCCACUCAAAUCUGAUGUUCAAUUGUAAUCUCCCAGUGUUAGAGGUGAG